rnacentral:rRNA from 1 species
UGGGGAAUUUUGGACAAUGGGCGCAAGCCUGAAUCCAGCUAUUCCGCGUGUGGGAUGAAGGCCCUCGGGUUGUAAACCACUUUUGUAGAGAACGAAAAGACACCUUUUAAUAAAGGGUGUUGCUGACGGUACUCUAAGAAUAAGCACCGGCUAACUACGUGCC